UACGUAGGGUGCAAGCGUUAUCCGGAAUUAUUGGGCGUAAAGAGCUCGUAGGCGGUUUGUCACGUCUGCUGUGAAAACUGGAGGCUCAACCUCCAGCCUGCAGUGGGGACGGGCAGACUAGAGUGCGGUAGGGGAGAUUGGAAUUCCUGGUGUAGCGGUGGAAUGCGCAGAUAUCAGGAGGAACACCGAUGGCGAAGGCAGAUCUCUGGGCCGUAACUGACGCUGAGGAGCGAAAGCAUGGGGAGCGAACAGG
rnacentral:rRNA from 1 species